AGUGAACGCUGGCGGUAGGCCUAACACAUGCAAGUCGAACGGCAGCACAGUAAGAGCUUGCUCUUACGGGUGGCGAGUGGCGGACGGGUGAGGAAUACAUCGGAAUCUACUUUUUCGUGGGGGAUAACGUAGGGAAACUUACGCUAAUACCGCAUACGACCUACGGGUGAAAGCAGGGGAUCUUCGGACCUUGCGCGACUGAAUGAGCCGAUGUCGGAUUAGCUAGUUGGCGGGGUAACGGCCCACCAAGGCGACGAUCCGUAGCCGGCCUGAGAGGAUGAUCGGCCACACUGGAACUGAGACACGGUCCAGACUCCUACGGGAGGCAGCAGUAGGGAAUCUUGGGCAAUGGGCGAAAGCCUGACGGAGCCACGCCGCGUGAGUGAUGAAGGUCUUCGGAUCGUAAAACUCUGUUAUUAGCGAAGAACAAAUGUGUAAGUAACUAUGCACGUCUUGACGGUACCUAAUCAGAAAGCCACGGCUAACUACGUG
rnacentral:rRNA from 1 species